CAAAAAAAGUCCACAUUGAUAGCACUAGACGAUAGCGCAUUUUCCUGACCUGCUAUAAUAGAUGAGUUCGUGAUUUUGGUUACUUUUUAAUAGCACCUGAUAAAUGCUAAAACCAAAAAUCCUUAAGCGGGAAACAAAAAUGACCUAUUCCGCCAACACUUAGCAAAACUUUUCAUAAACAUUUCUUCCUUUUACCCAAAACGUAUUGAGAACUUCUCACAGACUUAGACCUAAAAAAAAUUGAUUCUCACAGACUUAGUGGUCUCCCUCUCUCAUCCUUUCGAUCUCACUGUUCUCACUCUAUCGCUACCAUUUCCAUCACUCUAUCGGUAACGAUGGGUCUAUCAACAAAUCUCCAUAGCCUCAACCUUCGAUUCCACUUUCUUCACCGGUGGUAACGGAGGAGUCAAGAAGCCACAUCGUUACCGUCCUGGAACCAUCGCUGUUCGUGAGAUUCAUAAAUUUAGUGAAGAUGAGAUUAGAGCCGAGAAGAAUCCUCGCCCAUUUGAUGAAGAUGAUAUCGCUCUCGUAAAGAAUUAUGUUUGAUUCAUUGAGUCAAUAGAUUAUUUUCUGUCAAAGCACUAUGUUAACAGGUUUAGUUCGCUCCUUUUGGAUCAAUACAUGUUUGGUUCCAGCUCUUUAAUGAUCGUGAGAGGUUUAGAUAUGAUGCAUAUUUUCAAUUACAAAACAUGAUGCAGGUUUUCACAAGAUGCAGGUUUUCACAAGAUGCAGGUCUUCACAUGUGUAGGUUUUAACAUUAUACAUAACGGUACCCACCAUCAAUACUUUGUUUAAUGGCUUAUGGUUGUGAUGCUAACGUUUUCUAUUAAAAAAAUAUGGAUGUCUUGAUUUAGCAGGGAUGAUCCGUUGAUGAUGUUUAUGUUUAGUCAGUAACUUCUACUAAUUUCAGAAAGUUUUUGUCACUAUGUGCAUGUCUCCUUUGGUCAUUGAUUCAUACGUGUGUUUUGGCCACAGUUUUGUCUAUUUGUUUGCGGUUUUCUUUUUGUCUAGUUCUUUCAAUAUCCAGAAGCCAAAAGAGAAGAGCUUCUUUUUAGAGCUAGAGCUUCCUAUAUCUAAAGUUCAAGUUGUGGAGACAUGUGACUGAGGCUAAGAAGAAACAUUCAGAGAAGAAGGUGACGAAGUCUGAUGAACCUAAGCCAAAAAGACUUAGAAUAGCCAAGGAUACGAAGAAGAGCUCUUCUACCUUAAACAUGCCCAAACGACCUCUUACGGGCUUCUUUAUCUUCGUGAAUAUAUUCUGUCAUUUUUUUUGACGAGAGCAUCUAAGUUCUCUCAUUAAGGAUGUUGCAAAGAUCGGUGGUGGAAAGUGGACGUCUAUGACUGAGGAAUUGAGUUGCUUUAUUAUCUUGUUUCUUUGUUAGUUUCAUGGCGAUUUGUUUCUCUUUGUAGUUUAUCUCAUAAAUUAGUACUUUGUUGUGUAAGAGUAAUAGUUAGAUUUUUUUGUAUAAGACUUGUUAUAUAUGUUUUGUGUAAUGAUAAUUUUUGAUAA